rfam:Melissococcus plutonius ATCC 35311 DNA, complete genome.
UGCGACGAGUUGACGCAAUCAGAUAGCGCUUAUUGUAGGCUGUUUCGUUUUUACGACUUGUGAUUGGUUGAUUGCAGCGACAUAGAUGGAAACAUCACCUACCGGAUUGUAGGAUGUUGUGUUUGUUUAUUUUGUGGAAGAU